CGAGAAGGCUCGAGAUCAAUCGAAGGGAGGAGGGAGGAGACGAGGAAAGCAGUGACGCCCUUUUCUUCCGCUACGGCUCGAAAAGGAAUGAUGGCAGAACUAUUCGAGCACCGAAUGGGUCCUCGUUAGGCAUAUAUAAAGAGGGGAAUAAGCCACAUGUUAUCGUGAAGGGUACAUUGAGCUCGAGUGCGACCCUAACAGCGUGUUGUCGGUGGACCUUUAGUGUUUCUAGAUUCAUAAAUUGUUUUAUCUAACAGAUUUGAUUUUACUUUUGUUUUUCUUAUCAUAAGCUGCAGGAACAUCCUACCUCGUUCUUAUCGGUUCGAGGAAAUUACGCAUCGGCCACCCUCUACGCACUGGCCACCCUUGCUUUCUCCCGCUUUACCCGCGCCCGCCCUCCGCUCCGGCCGCCUUGCCGUCCUUCCCGUCGUCGACGUGUUCGGCGAGGACUAUAGUUUCCCCCUCUCGCGCGCCAACUUCAUUGGCAUUUGGUACCCUCUUGAAGGACCUCGUCUUCUUCUAUGCUCUCCUCGGCGCCUAGCGGUCACCCACCAGCUCUUCGACGCUAUGCCCUGCCGGUAGCCUUUCCUUCGCCAGGGCCGUCGUCGACCAGAAUGCCGUUUCGUGGACGCAUAUGGUAGUCGUGUACUGCAAGGCCGGUGCCGUCGUUUCUGCUAGGUAACUGUUCGACAGACUGCCUGAGAAGAACUUGGUUUUGUUGACUACUAAAGUUAACGAGGGAUGACUAAAGAGGCGCUUGCGCGAGUUGAAAUGGCAGAAGAUAGAGCCAGACGUAGCCACUGUGGUCUGCAUCAUCUCCGCCUCGGUUCAGCUGCGAAUUGUGGAGCUGCUGAUCUGAGUUGGAUCGUAUGUCAAUAGCAAGAAGAACGAGAGGAACGAGCACGAUGCACUUGUGGACAUGGAUGCCAAGUGAGGCAACAUCGAGAAAGCUUUGUGCACAUUCGAAGAGAUUCCUUCCCUGGAUGCACACUCAAUCGCCGAGCUCAUAGACGGGAUAACAUCCCGUGGACUCAAAAUGAUGGCGCUCGACAUCUUUGACAUACUGCGAAGGGAGAUGAUGAUGCCAGAUUGUAUCACAUUUGUCAGGAGUUCUGGGAAAGCAUUGUUUGCAGCUAUGGCAUGGAGCAGAGAGCCGACCGCAUUUCUUGCAUCACGGACAUGCUUGGAUGGGCAAGGUGGCUUAAGGAAGCACAUAAGAUAAUUCAGAGCUCCACAUAUUUGACACAAUGCACUGGGAGGUGAUCAAGCCAGUCUGUAUCAUGUUUGUCAGCACGCAGAGUGCCUGAAGCCAUUCAAAGCUUGUCACACAAAGGGUUGGAAUUCUGUGAUUCCUUUUCUGCAUGGAUGUGCUGGGAGGCAUAGAGAAGCACAUAAGAUGGUUCAGAGUAUUCUAGUGUGGCCUCAUCCAGGAGCGCUAGUGGGCAUUGCUUGCAGCUUGGAGGACUUGUGCCAAUACUGAGAUUGCAGAGAACUGUUGAAGGUGGAACCAAGAACUAGGGAAACUGUAUGCUUCUUACAAUGAUAACAUUGCAAGAAUUAGAGCGAUGAUAAGAGAGAAAUUUCAACGAACUUCCAGGCUUGAGUUGGAUUGACAUUUAGCGGAGCUGCUGUAGAUUUCAGAAUAAGGUGUUGACAUGCAUCAAAUGCAGGACUGAUUAAUUUGUUGCCUUCUUUUCUGGUUAGUCUUACAACGAGAUGAUUGGUUGGUUAAGGCAAAGAGCAUUGAUGAUUUGAGCUGCCAGGGCAUACCUUGGUGUUUGAGUACUUUGAUUGUGCUUUUUUUUAAUGCAACAAGCAUCAACCAGCUGGGUGGCUAUCCAGCUAUCAAAAUUUAUAUCAGACGAUCUAAGUGGGAUGGGGCAAAUCAAGAAUUGUGUCUCAUGGAGUAUGGAAUGUUGCACCAUGGACUUCAGUUGCCAUGUAGACGUCUAUCUGAAGAUUGAUAUUUUUGCUAGAGGGUAACCUUUUUGACAGCUCAACAUUUUCUCGCCUUCUAAGCAUCAAACAUGAGGAAGUACUGGUUUAAUGUUGCCAAGAGGAGCAAUGAAAACAGAAGGAAGGAAGGAUAUCUCCAUUUAUAACCAGUGUUAAGCAUAGAGUUAUGUCUUUGGACUUGAUUGUUCUCUCUUUCUCUCUCUCUCUCUCUCUAUUAGUGCCAUUCGUGCUACUGCUUCUGAAGCCAUUUCACCUCUGUGACAGUUAUCUCCCCCAAGUGGAGUCUAAUGAUGCCAAGUGAUGCUACAAGAUGUAAUCAAAAGAAGGGUGAAUCUUCCCAUUUAUAAUUAGGAUUAAGCAACAGAGUUUUAGCUUCCCACAAGAUUGUCCUCUAUCCUUCUUAUACUUCGUCGUCAUUGUUGGUUUUGUUAUUAUUGCCCUUCUUGCUUGUUACUUUCUUCUUAAGCUUUUGUUGUACGAUCUUUGUUAUUAUCA